rnacentral:lncRNA from 1 species
UUUUGGGCGCGGGUGUGCCCGUGGCCUAUUUUUGGCACACGGAGGCCGCCCGCAAAGUCUGGGGCCAUUCCGAGUCCGGCGGACGAACUUCGCCCACGUCCCCCACCAAGGCUAUAGCCCACCCAUUUUUUGGCCAUUUUUCCGCUGGGGGGUCUUGGCGCCCCGACCUUCGGGGGCUGAAUUUUGGGCGCGGGUGUGCCCGUGGCCUAUUUUUGGCACACGGAGGCCGCCCGCAAAGUCUGGGGCCAUUCCGAGUCCGGCGGACGAACUUCGCCCACGUCCCCCACCAAGGCUAUAGCCCACCCAUUUUUUGGCCAUUUUUCCGCUGGGGGGUCUUGGCGCCCCGACCUUCGGGGGCUGAAUUUUGGGCGCGGGUGUGCCCGUGGCCUAUUUUUGGCACACGGAGGCCGCCCGCAAAGUCUGGGGCCAUUCCUAGUCCGGCGGACGAACUUCGCCCACGCCCCCUACCAAGGCUAUAGCCCACCCGUUUUUUGGCCAUUUUUCCGCUGGGGGGUCUUGGCGCCCCGACCUUCGGGGGCUGAAUUUUGGGCGCGGGUGUGCCCGUGGCCUAUUUUUGGCACACGGAGGCCGCCCGCAAAGUCUGGGGCCAUUCCGAGUCCGGCGGACGAGCUUCGCCCACGCCCCCCACCAAGGCUAUAGCCCACCCGUUUUUUGGCCAUUUUUCCGCUGGGGGGUCUUGGCGCCCCGACCUUCGGGGGCUUAAUUUUGGGCGCGGGUGUGCCCGUGGCCUAUUGUUGGCACACGGAGGCCGCCCGCAAAGUCUGGGGCCAUUCCGAGUCCGGCGGACGAACUUCGCCCACGUCCCCCACCAAGGCUAUAGCCCACCCAUUUUUUGGCCAUUUUUCCGCUGGGGGGUCUUGGCGCCCCGACCUUCGGGGGCUGAUUUUUGGGCGCGGGUGUGCCCGUGGCCUAUUUUUGGCACACGGAGGCCGCCCGCAAAGUCUGGGGCCAUUCCGAGUCCGGCGGACGAACUUCGCCCACGCCCCCCACCAAGGCUAUAGCCCACCCGUUUUUUGGCCAUUUUUCCGCUGGGGGGUCUUGGCGCCCCGACCUUCGGGGGCUGAUUUUUGGGCGCGGGUGUGCCCGUGGCCUAUUUUUGGCACACGGAGGCCGCCCGCAAAGUCUGGGGCCAUUCCGAGUCCGGCGGACGAGCUUCGCCCACGCCCCCCACCAAGGCUAUAGCCCACCCGUUUUUUGGCCAUUUUUCCGCUGGGGGGUCUUGGCGCCCCGACCUUCGGGGGCUGAUUUUUGGGCGCGGGUGUGCCCGUGGCCUAUUUUUUGCACACGGAGGCCGCCCGCAAAGUCUGGGGCCAUUCCGAGUCCGGCGGACGAACUUCGCCCACGCCCCCCACCAAGGCUAUAGCCCACCCGUUUUUUGGCCAUUUUUCCGCUGGGGGGUCUUGGCUCCCCGACCUUCGGGGGCUGAUUUUUGGGCGCGGGUGUGCCCGUGGCCUAUUUUUGGCACACGGAGGCCGCCCGCAAAGUCUGGGGCCAUUCCGAGUCCGGCGGACGAACUUCGCCCACGCCCCCCACCAAGGCUAUAGCCCACCCGUUUUUUGGCCAUUUUUCCGCUGGGGGGUCUUGGCGCCCCGACCUUCGGGGGCUGAAUUUUGGGCGCGGGUGUGCCCGUGGCCUAUUUUUGGCACACGGAGGCCGCCCGCAAAGUCUGGGGCCAUUCCGAGUCCGGCGGACGAACUUCGCCCACGCCCCCCACCAAGGCUAUAGCCCACCCGUUUUUUGGCCAUUUUUCCGCUGGGGGGUCUUGGCGCCCCGACCUUCGGGGGCUGAAUUUUGGGCGCGGGUGUUGCCCGUGGCCUAUUUUUGGCACACGGAGGCCGCCCGCAAAGUCUGGGGCCAUUCCGAGUCCGGCGGACGAACUUCGCCCACGCCCCCCACCAAGGCUAUAGCCCACCCGUUUUUUGGCCAUUUUUCCGCUGGGGGGUCUUGGCGCCCCGACCUUCGGGGGCUGAUUUUUGGGCGCGGGUGUGCCCGUGGCCUAUUUUUGGCACACGGAGGCCGCCCGCAAAGUCUGGGGCCAUUCCGAGUCCGGCGGACGAACUUCGCCCACGCCCCCCAUCAAGGCUAUAGCCCGCCCACCCGUUUUUUGGCCAUUUUUCCGCUGGGGGGUCUUGGCGCCCCGACCUUCGGGGGCUGAUUUUUGGGCGCGGGUGUGCCCGUGGCCUAUUUAUGGCACACGGAGGCCGCCCGCAAAGGCUGGGGCCAUUCCGAGUCCGGCGGACGAGCUUCGCCCACGCCCCCCACCAAGGCUAUAGCCCACCCUUUUUUUGGCCAUUUUUCCGCUGGGGGGUCUUGGCGCCCCGACCUUCGGGGGCUGAUUUUUGGGCGCGGGUGUGCCCGUGGCCUAUUUUUUGCACACGGAGGCCGCCCGCAAAGUCUGGGGACAUUCCGAGUCCGGCGGACGAACUUCGCCCACGCCCCCCACCAAGGCUAUAGCCCACCCGUUUUUUGGCCAUUUUUCCGCUGGGGGGUCUUGGCUCCCCGACCUUCGGGGGCUGAUUUUUGGGCGCGGGUGUGCCCGUGGCCUAUUUUUGGCACACGGAGGCCGCCCGCAAAGUCUGGGGCCAUUCCGAGUCCGGCGGACGAGCUUCGCCCACGCCCCCCACCAAGGCUAUAGCCCACCCGUUUUUUGGCCAUUUUUCCGCUGGGGGGUCUUGGCGCCCCGACCUUCGGGGGCUGAAUUUUGGGCGCGGGUGUGCCCGUGGCCUAUUUUUGGCACACGGAGGCCGCCCGCAAAGUCUGGGGCCAUUCCGAGUCCGGCGGACGAACCUCGCCCACGCCCCCCACCAAGGCUAUAGCCCACCCGUUUUUUGGCCAUUUUUCCGCUGGGGGGUCUUGGCGCCCCGACCUUCGGGGGCUGAUUUUUGGGCGCGGGUGUGCCCGUGGCCUAUUUUUGGCACACGGAGGCCGCCCGCAAAGUCUGGGGCCAUUCCGAGUCCGGCGGACGAACUUCGCCCACGCCCCCCACCAAGGCUAUAGCCCACCCGUUUUUUGGCCAUUUUUCCGCUGGGUGGUCUUGGCGCCCCGACCUUCGGGGGCUGAAUUUUGGGCGCGGGUGUGCCCGUGGCCUAUUUUUGGCACACGGAGGCCGCCCGCAAAGUCUGGGGCCAUUCCGAGUCCGGCGGACGAACUUCGCCCACGCCCCCCACCAAGGCUAUAGCCCACCCGUUUUUUGGCCAUUUUUCCGCUGGGGGGUCUUGGUGCCCCGACCUUCAGGGGCUGAAUUUUGGGCGCGGGUUUGCCCGUGGCCUAUUUUUGGCACACGGAGGCCGCCCGCAAAGUCUGGGGCCAUUCCGAGUCCGGCGGACGAACUUCGCCCACGCCCCCCACCAAGGCUAUAGCCCACCCGUUUUUUGGCCAUUUUUCCGCUGGGGGGUCUUGGCGCCCCGACCUUCGGGGGCUGAAUUUUGGGCGCGGGUGUGCCCGUGGCCUAUUUUUGGCACACGGAGGCCGCCCGCAAAGUCUGGGGCCAUUCCGAGUCCGGCGGACGAACUUCGCCCACGCCCCCCACCAAGGCUAUAGCCCACCCGUUUUUUGGCCAUUUUUCCGCUGGGGGGUCUUGGCGCCCCGACCUUCGGGGGCUGAUUUUUGGGCACGGCUGUGCCCGUGGCCUAUUUUUGGCACACGGAGGCCGCCCGCAAAGUCUGGGGCCAUUCCGAGUCCGGCGGACGAACUUCGCCCACGCCCCCCACCAAGGCUAUAGCCCACCCGUUUUUUGGCCAUUUUUCCGCUGGGGGGUCUUGGCGCCCCGACCUUCGGGGGCUGAUUUUUGGGCGCGGGUGUGCCCGUGGCCUAUUUUUGGCACACGGAGGCCGCCCGCAAAGUCUGGGGCCAUUCCGAGUCCGGCGGACGAACUUCGCCCACGCACCCCACCAAGGCUAUAGCCCACCCGUUUUUUGGCCAUUUUUCCGCUGGGGGGUCUUGGCGCCCCGACCUUCGGGGGCUGAUUUUUGGGCGCGGCUGUGCCCGUGGCCUAUUUUUGGCACACGGAGGCCGCCCGCAAAGUCUGGGGCCAUUCCGAGUCCGGCGGACGAACUUCGCCCGCGCCCCCCACCAAGGCUAUAGCCCCCCG